GACGAACGCUGGCGGCGUGCUUAACACAUGCAAGUCGAACGGAAAGGCCCUGCUUUUGUGGGGUGCUCGAGUGGCGAACGGGUGCGUAACACGUGAGUAACCUGCCCUUGUCUUUGGGAUAACUUCAGGAAACUGGGGCUAAUACCGGAUAGGAGCUCCUGUAGCAUGGUGGGGGUUGGAAAGUUUCGGCGGUUGGGGUUGGACUCGCGGCUUAUCAGCUUGUUGGUGGGGUAGUGGCUUACCAAGGCUUUGACGGGUAGCCGGCCUGAGAGGGUGACCGGCCACAUUGGGACUGAGAUACGGCCCAGACUCCUACGGGAGGCAGCAGUGGGGAAUAUUGCACAAUGGGCGGAAGCCUGAUGCAGCAACGCCGCGUGCGGGAUGACGGCCUGCGGGUUGUAAACCGCUGUCGCCUGAGACGAAGCGUGAGUGACGGUAAUGGGUAAAGAAGCACCGGCUAACUACGUG
rnacentral:rRNA from 1 species